rnacentral:lncRNA from 1 species
CUGGACUGUGGUAUCUACCUCUGUUUUCAGAAUACUUUAUGUCUGGUUGUUUCAUAGAACAGACACUGUAGCAGUGGUCAGAAAAAAUCCCACUAUUGUCUAUGUAUUUAGGUGCACCUGAAGAAUCUGAAUAUCGAGAAGGGUGUAGUGUCUUCCGUUUCCUCUUCUUAGGAUGCUCAUUCAUUUUGAACAGUCAAAGUCCCACACUCUUCAGCAUCAGCAAGCAGAGCAGCUCAGAGGCUGACAGCUGCACUGCUCCCACAUGCAGCAAAUGCAGCAGCGCGAGGCCUUCAUCUUCCGCUCCGCGCCCAGCCCGCACCGCAGCCGCCUCCGGACGCGGUGCUCCCCGCGGGGGAAGGGGUG